CUACGGGCGGCUGCAGUGGGGAAUAUUGGACAAUGGGCGAAAGCCUGAUCCAGCCAUGCCGCGUGUGUGAAGAAGGCCUUCGGGUUGUAAAGCACUUUCAGUGGGGAAGAAAGCCUUGGGGCUAAUACCCUCGAGGAAGGACAUCACCCACAGAAGAAGCACCGGCUAACUCCGUGCCAGCAGCCGCGGUAAUACGGAGGGUGCGAGCGUUAAUCGGAAUUACUGGGCGUAAAGCGCGCGUAGGCGGUCUGAUAAGCCGGUUGUGAAAGCCCCGGGCUCAACCUGGGAACGGCAUCCGGAACUGUCAGGCUAGAGUGCAGGAGAGGAAGGUAGAAUUCCCGGUGUAGCGGUGAAAUGCGUAGAGAUCGGGAGGAAUACCAGUGGCGAAGGCGGCCUUCUGGACUGACACUGACGCUGAGGUGCGAAAGCGUGGGUAGCAAACAGGAUUAGAUACCCUGGUAGUC
rnacentral:rRNA from 1 species